rnacentral:rRNA from 1 species
GACGAACGCUGGCGGCGUGCUUAACACAUGCAAGUCGAACGAUGAACUUGGAGCUUGCUCUGGGGGAUUAGUGGCGAACGGGUGAGUAACACGUGAGUAACCUGCCCUGGACUCUGGGAUAACUUCGAGAAAUCGGAGCUAAUACCGGAUAGGACCUUGCACCGCAUGGUGUGGGGUGGAAAGUUUUUCGGUUUGGGAUGGACUCGCGGCCUAUCAGCUUGUUGGUGAGGUAAUGGCUCACCAAGGCGUCGACGGGUAGCCGGCCUGAGAGGGUGACCGGCCAAACUGGGACUGAGACACGGCCCAGACUCCUACGGGAGGCAGCAGUGGGGAAUAUUGCACAAUGGGCGCAAGCCUGAUGCAGCAACGCCGCGUGCGGGAUGACGGCCUUCGGGUUGUAAACCGCUUUUAGUAGGGAAGAAGCCUUCGGGUGACGGUACCUGCAGAAAAAGGACCGGCUAACUACGUGCCAGCCGCCGCGGUAAAAC